rnacentral:rRNA from 1 species
GACGAACGCUGGCGGCGUGGAUUAGGCAUGCAAGUCGAACGGUAUCAUCCUUUCGGGGGUGAGAGAGUGGCGAACUGGUGAGUAACACGUAGGUUAUCUACCCUCAAGACGGGGACAACCCAGGGAAACUUGGGUUAAUACCGGAUGUGAGCAACUUUUAGUUGUUUGAAAGGUGGCGUAAGCUGUCGCUUGGGGAUGAGCCUGCGUCCUAUUAGUUAGUUGGUGAGGUAACGGCUCACCUAGGCAAUGAUAGGUAGGCGGCCUUAACGGGUGGUCGCCCACACUGGGAUUGAGAUACGGCCCAGACUCCUACGGGAGGCAGCAGUCGAGAAUAGUCUACAAUGGUCGGAAGACUGAUAGUGCGACGCCGCGUGAACGAUGAAUCCCUUCGGGGUGUAAAGUUCUUUUAUAUGUGAGCAGUGCUUCUUAUAUUAACAGUAUGGGGAGAGAGAUAUUAGCAUAUGAAUAAGCAACGGCUAACUCCGUGCCAGCAGCCGCGGUAAUA